rnacentral:rRNA from 1 species
UGAGUGGCAGACGGGUGAGUAACAUGUGGGAAUCUGCCUUGUGGUUCAGGACAACAUUGGGAAACCGAUGCUAAUACUGGAUAAGCCCUUACGGGGAAAGUUUUAAUGCCAUAAGAUGAGCCCGCAUUUGAUUAGUUAGUUGGUGAGGUAAUGGCUCACCAAGACAAUGAUCAAUAGCUGAUCUGAGAGGAUGAUCAGCCACACUGGGACUGAGACACGGCCCAGACUCCUACGGGAGGCAGCAGUGGGGAAUCUUGCACAAUGGAGGAAACUCUGAUGCAGCGAUGCCGCGUGAGUGAAGAAGGCCUUUGGGUUGUAAAGCUCUUUUGUAGGGGAAGAUAAUGACUGUACCCUAAGAAUAAGGUCCGGCUAACUUCGUGCCAGCAGCCGCGGUAAUACGAAGGGACCUAGCGUAGUUCGGAAUUACUGGGCGUAAAGCGCGCGUAGGCCGUUGAGUUAGUUAAUUGUGAAAUCCCAAAGCUUAACUUUGGAACUGCAAUUAAAACUGCUCGACUAGAGUUUGAUAGAGGAAAGCGGAAUACAUAGUGUAGAGGUGAAAUUCGUAGAUAUUAUGUAGAACACCAGUUGCGAAGGCGGCUUUCUGGAUCAACACUGACGCUGAGGCGCGAAAGUAUGGGUAGCAAAGAGGAUUAGAUACCCUCGUAGUCCAUACCAUAAACGAUGAUUGCUAGAUGUUGGAAAUUUAUUUUCAGUAUCGCAGCUAACGCAUUAAGCAAUCCGCCUGGGGGAGUACGACCGCAAGGUUAAAACUCAAAUGAAUUGACGGGGACCCGCACAAGCGGUGGAGCAUGUGGUUUAAUUCGAAGAUACGCGCAGAACCUUACCAACCCUUGACAUGUCUGUCGCGAGUUU